UACGGGGGGAGCAAGCGUUGUUCGGAUUUACUGGGCGUAAAGGGCGCGUAGGCGGCGUGACAAGUCACUUGUGAAAUCUCCGGGCUUAACUCGGAACGGUCAAGUGAUACUGUCGUGCUAGAGUACAGAAGGGGCAACUGGAAUUCUCGGUGUAGCGGUGAAAUGCGUAGAUAUCGAGAGGAACACCUGCGGCGAAGGCGGGUUGCUGGGCUGAUACUGACGCUGAGGCGCGAAAGCCAGGGGAGCGAACGGG
rnacentral:rRNA from 1 species